UAAAGUACGCAAUCACAAAGACACGCCACACAUGGCAAAAGCACGUUUUCCCGUAGAGGCAUGUGUCUAAAUAGCAGGGCCAGCUGUAAUGAAUAACCUGAAGUAAACUCACUCCUAUCCGCUACCCCUGGGAGGGCAUGACCGCAAGCUCUGAGAGCAACAAUGUUUCAGAGGAACAGAGGUUACAAGAGUCCUGUCUUGCUUACUCGGAGUUUUCUCACAAAGUUUCAGGAGUCUCCUCACACAGCUUCGUGCAUGGACUGUGUUCCGACACCUUGUCCACUCAACCUGCGGUGCAGAAGUUUGUCAGUGAACUGAUGUGUAAUAUCCAGAAGCUAUAAACAGCGGGACCCCGGGGCCGAAGCCUACCUGAGGGCCAGAGUCUAGCUGCAGCAACUCAGUGAGGAAGCAAAAAAAAAAAUCUGCAAUUUCCAUCUCUCCCUCAGCAGCCCCAAGUGCUUCAGGGCGACUGUUGUCAACUCGUGGGUGACUGAAGUUUCACAGUAGCUCAUCAUCAUUGCUGUCUACGAACACAACACAAGGAGAGAGAGUUCUGGAGCCCUAGUCAUCGCGGAGGACACUGCCAUCCUGGAGAAGCCACAUUAUCAGGUUACACUGACAUGGAGAGAGCAGGCCAAAGCCUUCCCGGCUGUCUAGCUUUCUAGACUUCCCAGAACAGAUGCCAGAUUUGUAGCAAAGAAGCAGUGAAGUUCAAUGAAGGCCCAGCCAUCAUUUAACCCAGAGCCUUCCACAUUGCUUUGAGCCAGAACCAUCUAGUUGAGCUGUCCCCAAAUUUCUUGACCACAGAAACUAUGACCAACAAUGAGUAAUUAUUGUUUUAAGCCAUUACAUUCUGGGGUAAUUUGUCAUGUAGCAGGAUCACUUACUUGAACCCUUACUGUAAAACCAUUUAGCGUGAUUGAGUCAAUAGAAAAAAACAUGAAUCUUGCUCUAUUUCA